CAAUAGCGUAUAUUUAAGUUGUUGCAGUUAAAAAGCUCGUAGUUGGAUUUCGGGUGUGAACGACCGGUCCGUCUUUGAUGUGUACUGGUUGGUUGCGCCUUAUUGUCGAGGACGUGGUUCUAGCUUUCAUUAGCCGGGACAUGGAGUCGGCAGCGUUACUUUGAGAAAAUUAGAGUGUUCAAAGCAGGCUAUCGCUCUGAAUACUACAGCAUGGAAUAACACGAUAGGACUCCAAGCCUAUUCUGUUGGUCUUCGGGACCGGAGUAAUGAUUAAGAGGGACAGUUGGGGGCAUUCGUAUUCCGAUGUCAGAGGUGAAAUUCUUGGAUUAUCGGAAGACGAACAUCUGCGAAAGCAUUUGCCAAGGAUGUUUUCAUUAA
rnacentral:rRNA from 1 species